CGACCUCCAGCGCUGCCUCUAUCCAGCAUCGCCGACCUCCAGCGCCGCCUCCAGCCAGCAUCGCCGACCUCCAGCGCUGCCUCCCUUCAGCAUCGGGGACCUCCAGCAACCUCCCGUCCUCUGCCUCCAGCGGCCUCCGGCAACCUCCCGUUCUAGAUGUUGAAUACUUUGUAUUUUUGGUUUAUCAUUUGUCUUGUGAACUAUCAGAUCAUUCAUGAUGGCACAUCUCUGAAUGGUUAUGAACAAGAAGCUACUACUUCAUCAGGGAUGACUAACUUGUUUUAUGUGGCAGGGCACAAGUGGUUGGAUGGCCACCGAUCCGAAGUUAUAGAAAGAACACAAUGGUCGCAAACCCGACCAAGAAAAAGGAGGAUGAUGAAGUGAAACAAGGGGUGGAAUGCCUCUAUGUCAAGGUCAGCAUGGAUGGAGCUCCAUAUCUCAGAAAAGUUGACCUCAAAAUGUAUUCCAACUACAAGGAACUCUCACUGGCUCUUGAGAAGAUGUUUACUUGCUUUACUAUUGCAUGUUUACUGAUUCAUGCAGAAGGUUGAGGAUCAUGAAAGGUUCAGAUGCAAUUGGUAUUGCUUGUGGUUGACCAGAUCUUGCGCCUGAUAGAAUUCGCAACAGUUCGUAUCCUGUUUCCUAACAAACUGAGUAAAGUUUGGCUCAGCUCCAAGGGCCAUGGAGAAAUCCAAGAGCAGGAACUAACAAAACAUGCAGACCAAACUAGUUGCAACUGGCUCACAGAACUGAAAGAUAUCUGUUUAGUCUUGUCUUUAUUUUGUGAUUUACCAGAGUGGAGUGAAACCUCUGGUUUACUUGCUAGUUCGUGGACAGUGUUGGUAGUUGCUGUAGUAGGUAUUAUCUUGUCAUCUCGUAUGCAUUGGUAUUAGAAGCGUGUUUUCAUUAA